rnacentral:tRNA from 1 species
GCGCGCGUGGCGGAAUUGGUCGACGCGCUAGCUUCAGGAGCUAGUGAGCUCACGCUCGUGGAGGUUCAAGUCCUCUCGCGCGCACCA